AGAGUUUGAUCCUGGCUCAGGACGAACGCUGGCGGCGUGCCUAAUACAUGCAAGUCGAGCGGACUGAUGGGAGCUUGCUCCCUGAUGUUAGCGGCGGACGGGUGAGUAACACGUGGGCAACCUGCCUGUAAGACUGGGAUAACUCCGGGAAACCGGGGCUAAUACCGGAUAAUUCAUUUCCCCGCGUGGGGAAAUGCUGAAAGACGGUUUCGGCUGUCACUUACAGAUGGGCCCGCGGCGCAUUAGCUAGUUGGUGAGGUAACGGCUCACCAAGGCAACGAUGCGUAGCCGACCUGAGAGGGUGAUCGGCCACACUGGGACUGAGACACGGCCCAGACUCCUACGGGAGGCAGCAGUAGGGAAUCUUCCGCAAUGGACGAAAGUCUGACGGAGCAACGCCGCGUGAGUGAUGAAGGUUUUCGGAUCGUAAAGCUCUGUUGUUAGGGAAGAACAAGUGCGAGAGUAACUGCUCGCACCUUGACGGUACCUAACCAGAAAGCCACGGCUAACUACGUGCCAGCAGCCGCGGUAAUACGUAGGUGGCAAGCGUUGUCCGGAAUUAUUGGGCGUAAAGGGCUCGCAGGCGGUUUCUUAAGUCUGAUGUGAAAGCCCCCGGCUCAACCGGGGAGGGUCAUUGGAAACUGGGAAACUUGAGUGCAGAAGAGGAGAGUGGAAUUCCACGUGUAGCGGUGAAAUGCGUAGAGAUGUGGAGGAACACCAGUGGCGAAGGCGACUCUCUGGUCUGUAACUGACGCUGAGGAGCGAAAGCGUGGGGAGCGAACAGGAUUAGAUACCCUGGUAGUCCACGCCGUAAACGAUGAGUGCUAAGUGUUAGGGGGUUUCCGCCCCUUAGUGCUGCAGCUAACGCAUUAAGCACUCCGCCUGGGGAGUACGGUCGCAAGACUGAAACUCAAAGGAAUUGACGGGGGCCCGCACAAGCGGUGGAGCAUGUGGUUUAAUUCGAAGCAACGCGAAGAACCUUACCAGGUCUUGACAUCCUCUGACAACCCUAGAGAUAGGGCUUUCCCUUCGGGGACAGAGUGACAGGUGGUGCAUGGUUGUCGUCAGCUCGUGUCGUGAGAUGUUGGGUUAAGUCCCGCAACGAGCGCAACCCUUGAUCUUAGUUGCCAGCAUUCAGUUGGGCACUCUAAGGUGACUGCCGGUGACAAACCGGAGGAAGGUGGGGAUGACGUCAAAUCAUCAUGCCCCUUAUGACCUGGGCUACACACGUGCUACAAUGGACAGAACAAAGGGCUGCAAGACCGCAAGGUUUAGCCAAUCCCAUAAAUCUGUUCUCAGUUCGGAUCGCAGUCUGCAACUCGACUGCGUGAAGCUGGAAUCGCUAGUAAUCGCGGAUCAGCAUGCCGCGGUGAAUACGUUCCCGGGCCUUGUACACACCGCCCGUCACACCACGAGAGUUUGCAACACCCGAAGUCGGUGAGGUAACCUUUAUGGAGCCAGCCGCCGAAGGUGGGGCAGAUGAUUGGGGUGAAGUCGUAACAAGGUAACCGUA
rnacentral:rRNA from 1 species